ACAAGAAAGAAAAAGAAGAAGAAAACAAGAAAGAAAAAGAAGAAGAAAACAAGAAAAGAAAAGAGAAGAAGAAAACGGAAGGGCCAAGUGGCCCUUCAUUAAAAACAAGGCGCGGCCCUUCAAUAAAACGAGACGCACUGCGUCUUGUUGAGGCAUUCAGCCUUUCUGUUCUUCUUCCUAUGGAGGCAGAGCUUCUCCUUCUCAGUUUUUCCUCUUUUGAUUUUUCGUACAAAAAUCAUGAUCUAUGAAGAUCUAACCGUUCAGUUUCAAAUCCGACUUCGGUAACGUGAUCUACGAAACCCGAUCUACGUUUCUACCGAUCGAUUUGAGAUAAUGACUUGAGAAACUGCACUAAAUGACAGUUAAUAGACAAAGAUCAGAACUCAAGAGGUGUUAUAGCUAAGGACACAUAGUUUAUAUUUUGUUUGUAGUCUUCUGUGUUUAUAACAUUUUAUGUUGACGAGAUUGCUAAUGAUUUAUAUGUAUUCUUUUGUGUCAUUAUGGACACCUGUUUCCUUGUAUUUGUUAUAAGUAUUUUCUAAUGAAUAUCUAGAGGUAUUUAGUUUAAAA